GGGCUGCACAUGAGAAGGUGAUGAGGGCUGCGCAGGCGAGGAUGAGGAUGAUGAGGGCUGCACAUGAGAAGGCGAUGAGGGCUGCGCAGGCGAGGAUGAGGAUGAUGAGGGCUGCACAUGAGAAGGCGAUGAGGGCUGCACAUGAGAAGGUGAUGAAGGCUGCGCAGGCGAGGAUGAUGAGGGCUGCGCAUGAGAAGGUGAUGAGGGCUGCACAGGCGAGGUUGAAGGUGACGUGGGUGGCGCAGGUGGUGUUGACGGUGAUGAGGACAGGGCAGGAGGGCAUGAGGUUGAUAAGGC